GAUGAACGCUAGCGGCAGGCCUAAUACAUGCAAGACGAACGGUAAGUUGAGUAGCAAUACUUAGCCAAGAGUGUCGUACGGGUGCGUAACACGUAUGCAACCUACCCUAUACAGGAGGAUAGCCUAGGGAAACCUGGAUUAACCCUUCAUAGUAUUAUUGGAUGGCAUCAUUUGAUAAUUAAAACUGAGGUGGUAUAGGAUGGGCAUGCGUCUGAUUAGUUAGUUGGCGGGGUAAUGGCCCACCAAGACGAUGAUCAGUAGGGGUUCUGAGAGGAAGAUCCCCCACACUGGCACUGAGAUACGGGCCAGACUCCUACGGGAGGCAGCAGUAGGGAAUAUUGGACAAUGGGUGUAAGCCUGAUCCAGCCAUGCCGCGUGCAGGGAAGAAGGGCCUUCUGGGUUGUAAACUGCUUUUGCCAGGGGAUAAAAUUUCCAUGCGUGGAAAACUGAAGGUACCUGGUGAAUAAGCCACGGCUAACUACGUGCCAGCAGCCGCGGUAAU
rnacentral:rRNA from 1 species